UUGUCAUUUAAGUAGCUGCGUGACUGUGGGCCGGUCACUCAACCUCUACAAGCUGCAGCAUCACUCUCUGUCAAAAUGAACACUAACUUUGUUGGUUCUGAGGAUCAGAGAUGAGGUAGAUUAAACAAUGGGGCAUUGAAGUCUGGAGAUACAAAUCUAUACAGAAAUGGCUUUCAGGCUUUGGAACAACACAGUUCAGCUGAGACCCAUUCCGGAUGAGGACUCAGAGGCCUCCAGUCUGAGGAAACAAGACCAGCUCAGAAGUUGACCAGAUGAUGGCUUGAAAUGAGCGCGCAAUCCAAUCAAUCUCUUGAAAAUAAUUCAUGAGAAGAGAUCACCACGUCGGGGGACAUACAUUAAAAAGAUAUGGGAGAAGAGGCAGAGCCUCUUCUUGCCUGCUGCCCUUCACCUCUGGACACUUGAGAAACAAAAUAUAAAGGUUGGAAUUGCUGCAUCUGUCCUGUGAGUGUGAAGAGAAGACCCAGAGAAUGAAAUGAAGUCCACCCACCUGCUCCAUGAAAUCAAACCUAGAAUGAAGCUUCUCUGAACUGCUACUAAAGAAAAGUCUAGUCUUCAUUGUACAAUGUAGUUUUACUUUGAA